rnacentral:rRNA from 1 species
AACAAGGAUUCCCCUAGUAACUGCGAGUGAAGCGGGAAAAGCUCAAAUUUUGAAUCUGGCGGUCUUCGCAGACCGUCCGAGUUGUAAUCUAGAGAAGCGUCUUCCGCGCCGGCCCGUGUACAAGUCUCCUGGAAGGGAGCGUCUUAGAGGGUGAGAAUCCCGUCUCUGACACGGACCACCGGGGCUAUGUGAUGCGCUCUCGACGAGUCGAGUUGUUUGGGAAUGCAGCUCAAAAAGGGUGGUAAACUCCAUCUAAAGCUAAAUACUGGCGAGAGACCGAUAGCGAACAAGUACCGUGAGGGAAAGAUGAAAAGGACUCUGGAAAGAGAGUUAAACAGUACGUGAAAUUGCUGAAAGGGAAACGCUCGAUGUCCAGUCGCGUCGUCCGGGGGUCAACCUUGCUUCACCGCUCGGUGUAUUUCCUGGUCGACGGGUCAGCAUCAGUUUCGGUCGUCCUACAAGGGCUGAGAGGAAAGUGACACCCUUCCGAGGGUGUGUUAUAGCCUUUCGGUCGUAUGCGGCGAGCGGGACUGAGGAGACUCGGCACGCCUCGCGGUGCGCUAGAGAUGCUGGCAUAAUGGCAUUGAGCGACCCGUCUUGAAACACGGACCAAGGAGUCUAACAUGCCUGCGAGUGUUUGGGUGGCAAACCCGAGCGCGAAACGAAAGUGAAAGUCGAGAUCUCCUCUCACGGGAGUGCACCGACGCCCGGAUCCGUCGUCUUCGACGGUGGAUCUGCGGUAGAGCAUGCAUGUUGGGACCCGAAAGAUGGUGAACUAUGCCUGAAUAGGGCGAAGCCAGAGGAAACUCUGGUGGAGGCUCGUAGCGAUUCUGACGUGCAAAUCGAUCGUCGAAUUUGGG